GCUCCAAUUGAUUCACAAGAAGCUAUACAAAUUUCAAAAAAUUCUAAUUCAGUCUAGGCGACAGAACAUGAAAUGCAUUCAUUUAGUACAAAAUGGAGAAUUUAGGGAGGAGGGUUAUAAGAAGUUAGUUUAAUAGAUAAAGUUAGGAAUGAAGGGCACAAAAUUCAAAACCACUGUUUUCCAGAGUUAUAUGAGGAUAUUUAAAUAAGAAGAAAACUAUGAUUCAUCAUAUUUUCAUAUACAAUGAUAAAAUCAGCGUUCCAAUACUAGAUGGCAAAAACAGAAAAGAAAAAAAAAAGGGCUCUUCGUCUCUAAUAGACUAAUACAAAUAUUUUGAAACUACCAAUUGUGUCCUUGUUACAAAGUUU
rnacentral:misc_RNA from 1 species